UAACUGAAGAGUUUGAUCAUGGCUCAGAUUGAACGCUGGCGGCAGGCUUAACACAUGCAAGUCGAGCGGGGGAAGGUAGCUUGCUACUGGACCUAGCGGCGGACGGGUGAGUAAUGCUUAGGAAUCUGCCUAUUAGUGGGGGACAACAUCUCGAAAGGGAUGCUA
rnacentral:rRNA from 1 species